rnacentral:rRNA from 1 species
AACGCGAAGAACCUUACCAGGUCUUGACAUCUGUAGAACCCUUACGAAAGUAGGGGGUGCCUUCGGGAGCUACAAGACAGGUGGUGCAUGGUUGUCGUCAGCUCGUGUCGUGAGAUGUUGGGUUAAGUCCCGCAACGAGCGCAACCCUUGCUAUUAGUUGCUAACAUUUCGGAUGAGCACUCUAAUGGGACUGCCCGUGACAAGCGGGAGGAAGGUGGGGAUGACGUCAAAUCAUCAUGCCCUUUAUGAUCUGGGCUACACACGUGCUACAAUGGAUGGUACAGAGAGCAGCGAGACAGCGAUGUGGAGCGAAUCUCAAAAAGCCAUUCUCAGUUCGGAUUGCAGUCUGCAACUCGACUGCAUGAAGUCGGAAUCGCUAGUAAUCGCGGAUCAGCACGUCGCGGUGAAUGCGUUCCCGGGUCUUGUACACACCG